rnacentral:rRNA from 1 species
UACGUAUGGUGCAAGCGUUAUCCGGAUUUACUGGGUGUAAAGGGAGCGCAGGCGGUGCGGCAAGUCUGAUGUGAAAGCCCGGGGCUCAACCCCGGUACUGCAUUGGAAACUGUCGUACUAGAGUGUCGGAGGGGUAAGUGGAAUUCCUAGUGUAGCGGUGAAAUGCGUAGAUAUUAGGAGGAACACCAGUGGCGAAGGCGGCUUACUGGACGAUAACUGACGCUGAGGCUCGAAAGCGUGGGGAGCAAACAGGAUUAGAAACCCUGGUAGUGCUGACUGACU